CCGGUGUGUGUUAAGAUUUGCCAAUAAUAACUAACUUAAACCCAUAUUUGUAAGAGAUUGGAACAAUGCAACCUUAUAAUUAAGAUAUAAGUCGAUAACUAGUUCAAAUUUAGCUUAACACGAGUUCAGAUGAUGUAGCCGUGAUAAACAAAAUGUGAACCGUGAUAAUACUUACAAGCAAACCGAAGGUCAAAAUCAACCAAUGCAGCUUGAUUUGUCGAAGGUCUUGUCGAGAUCUACUAUUACUCCUACUCCUAAGGUUGGUGGCUGGAGCCAAAAAAGGGUUUGUAUUAUGAUUGUAUAUAUUUUUACAAGGAUCGAGUUUCUAAUAUUUAUAGCCUAGAAACCAAGUCACAUGUCAUAAUAUUACAUGUCUAUUCAAAAAAUGUAAUCAAGCCUCUAACUUUUCCUUCGUAAUGAAAUCUGACACGUCUUCCACGUCUUGCCUUUAUUCGACAUCCCUCUAAUCGACUAUUUCAAUCCAUGCUUCUAAUUAGUCGAUCCACUUAUCCGGUUGUCCCUUCUUUUACGAAGAAGGCCCAUAGGUAAUUCCUUGACUCGCCAAAAUUUGGGAUUAACAGUCGUAAUUCUACUUUUGCUGCUUGAAAACACACAUACCUUUAUUCGAAAUUUUGGGGAGAAUUCGGGUUGCUCUUAUUUUGCUCUCUUUUUUCUUUUCUUUCCUUCUCUCUCUAUCUUUAUUGGGACAUUUGUCUUCUUUCUCUUUUUUUCUUUUGGAGAGCUCCCAAACCUCUUUUCGAUAAUUUGAUGGGAGGUGGUAACAAUAAACAAUUGGAUCUUUAUUAAAUGGUAAGGAGUAAAAUGGGUGGAACAUUUUUUAUGUCCACUUCCAGUUUAGGAGUACAACAAAUUUGUAUGGAUCUAGAUGGAGUGUACGUGAUUUUGAUUUUAAAUGCAUGACUAGUUCCUAAGGGUCAACAAAGCUUGACUCUACUCAAUCCUCAUAAGUAGUAGACAAUAGUGAAAUGUUUUUUUCUAGUCUCUAAGGCAUGUAUAUCUGGCCGUGGUAGGAUUUUAAGCUCUCGUCAUUCAAGAACUCAUCAUGUAGCAUUUUUAUACUUUUUUUAAAAGAUAAAUUCUCUAGAACUCUAGUGUCUCUAGAAACAAGAUAAAUAGCAGCUCAAAACCUUUUCAUAUCAUGUCUGUUAGACUUAGGGUAAAGCAUCACAACCCACAAGUUUUAGGAUCUGAUUAAAUCUUUCGUCAAAAUAGUUGUGUCUUAAACUUGGGAGAAUUCAUGGUUGAAAACUAGAUACUCAAAGAACUAUGUUAGAGGAACUAAUCAUCAUUUCCAUGUGAGUCUAGUCUAGGGUUUGGUUUUAGCAAAAGAAUCCUUGUGUCUUCUCCUUUUAUUUAUUUAUCAAACUCUAAGAUCACAGAAAAAUAUAUAUAAGGAAAUCUUUAUUUGGGAUUUAAUGAUUAUUUAUCUUUUUUAAUUAUUUUUAAAUUUAAGCAAAUCAAAACUCAAAUUUAAAUUCAAAAUAAAGGUGAAAGAAAUACUUAGCUAGAUACACGGGGGUAUGCUCUCCCCAAGCAAGAUGUUGACGUAGUCUCUUGGUGUAGCAGACUGGUAGUGAAAAUGUCUCCUCUAGUUGUUGGCUUGUUUGAUCCUUGAAAGUCUAUGGAGCUCAAAUAGACAACAAAGAUUGUGGAACUUGAUUAAGUGUUAGUGGUAACCCUAUAAGCCUUGUCUAGAUCUCACAACUGAUUGAUCAUGUAAUAUUCUAGGAUCUUUUCAUUUUGGUAUUUUAAUAUGUUUUUAUAGUUUUAUGGAUUUUUAUGAUGUGAAAAGGAAAAUGCAACUAGAAAAGAUGCAAAUUUAUUUUUAUUCCUUCAUGGUGAAUGUAUUUAUGGUGUGCCACAGAGGUAUUGACAUUGGGCUUAGUAUUUUUUAUAUUUUUUGGAAUGCCAUGCAUUGUAUUUUUAUUUUCUUUUUCUAAUGAAAAAGUGUUGGUGUAAGUAAAUAUGAUUUUGAGAAAUUAAAUAUGCUUCUAAUGGAAAUAUGGAUAGCUACCAAAUGUGCCUUUUGGUGAGGGUUUGAUGUUCUGAGUCCUCCGAACAGGACUCGUUGUCUUCUUCAAGCUUCUUCGGUCAUCUCGGAAGGCUGGCUCGGUGCCUCCGACUACACCUCUUCUUGUGUUGGUGUGUUAGAAAUAAUUGUUGCUUUUCGUACCAAUAUCUCUUUGGUCGGCGAGGUGGGCUUUGAUGAGGGAGCUCCAUUGUCGGGUACCUGAAUAAGGGGGUACCCUUAAUCCUCAACUAAGAGAGUUAACCCCUGUCAAAUGUCAAGCCAAACAUCUUUCCUCUCGCUCUAACCUAUGGAAAAGCCCAACAAACAAGCUGCG
rnacentral:lncRNA from 1 species